rnacentral:rRNA from 1 species
GACGAACGCUGGCGGCGUGCUUAACACAUGCAAGUCGAACGGUAAGGCCCUUCGGGGUACACGAGUGGCGAACGGGUGAGUAACACGUGGGUGAUCUGCCCUGCACUUCGGGAUAAGCCUGGGAAACUGGGUCUAAUACCGGAUAGGACCACUGCCUGCAAGGGUGGUGGUGGAAAGCUUUUGCGGUGUGGGAUGGGCCCGCGGCCUGUCAGGUUGUUGGUGGGGUGAUGGCCUACCAAGGCGACGACGGGUAGCCGGCCUGAGAGGGUGACCGGCCAGACGGGGACUGUGAUACGGCGCAGACGCCGACGGGAGGCAGCAGUGGGGAAUAUUGCGCAAUGGGGUCAAGCCUGAUGCAGCGACGCCGCGUGAGGGAUGACUGCCUGCGGGUUGUAAACGUCUUACAGCACCGACGAAGCGCAAGUGGCGGUAGUUGCAGAAGAAGGACCGGCCAACCACGAGCCAGCCGCCGCAGUAA